GGGGAGGCGCAGCCUACACAUGCANUCGAACGAAGUCCUUCGGGGCUUAGUGGCGCACGGGUGCGUAACGCGUGGGAAUCUACCCUUAGGUUCAGAAUAACAGUUGGAAACGACUGCUAAUACCGGAUGAUGACGUAUGUCCAAAGAUUUAUCGCCUAGGGAUGAGCCCGCGUAAGAUUAGCUAGUUGGUGUGGUAAAGGCGCACCAGGGCGACGAUCCUUAUCUGGUCUGAGAGGAUGAUCACCCACACUGGGACUGAGACACGGCCCAGACUCCUACGGGAGGCAGCAGUGGGGAAUAUUGGACAAUGGGCGAAAGCCUGAUCCAGCAGUGCCGCGUGAGUGAUGAAGGCCUUAGGGUUGUAAAGCUCUUUUACCCGGGAUGAUAAUGACAGUACCGGGAGAAUAAGCUCCGGCUAACUCCGUGCCAGCAGCCGCGGUAAUACGGAGGGAGCUAGCGUUAUUCAGAAUUACUGGGCGUAAAGCGCACGUAGGCGGCUUUGUAAGUAAGAGGUGAAAGCGUGGUGCUCAACACCAGAACUGCCUUUUAGACUGCAUCGCUUGAAUCCGAGAGAGGUGAGUGGAAUUCCGAGUGUAGAGGUGAAAUUCGUAGAUAUUCGGAAGAACACCAGUGGCGAAGGCGGCUCACUGGACUGGUAUUGACGCUGAGGUGCAAAAGCGUGGGGAGCAAACAGGAUUAUAUACCCUGGUAGUCCACGCCGUACACGAUGAUAACUAUCUGUCGGGGCUCUUAGAGCUUCGGUGGCGCAACUAACGCAUUAAGUUAUCCGCCUGGGGAGUACGGCCGCGAGGUUAAAACUCAAUGAAUUGACGGGGGCCUGCAAAAGCCGUGG
rnacentral:rRNA from 1 species